rnacentral:misc_RNA from 1 species
GAUGAAGAACGCAGCGAAAUGCGAUAAGUCAUGUGAAUUGCAGAAUUCAGUGAAUCAUCGAAUCUUUGAACGCACCUUGCGCCUUUUGGUAUUCCGAAAGGCAUGCCUGUUUGAGUGUCAUGAAAUCUCAAUCCUCCUAGGUUUUUGACCUGGUUGGACUUGGACAUGGGCGUCUGCCAGCAAUGGCUCGCCUUAAAUGACUUAGUGGAACAUCCCACAUCAGUGUUAGACGUAAUAAGUUUCGUCUCUCCUUGUGGUGAUGACUGCUCAUAAUCUGCCAUCGCGCACUUUUGACUUUGACCUCAAAUCAGGUAGGGCUACCCGCUGAACUUAAGCAUAUCAAUAAGCGGAGGA